AGGCGCAUGAAUGAAUGCUGACGUUCAUUCAUCCAGUAAAUGAAAGAUUUGUUGCAAAUGAACAUGACGAUAAACUGCUGUCCAUCAGAAAUUGUAGGAGGCAGGUAUACAUGUAUAUGGGCUUGGAGGGAAGGAUGGGACUGAGCAGACAUACCUCAUAUCCAUGGAGUGCAUCUGCAGCAAAUACACCACUCUGAAAAACAGAAGAAAAGAAAUGUGCAUAGAAAACACUUUUCUCUGAUGGGAAAAAGAGCUGUGAAGUAUAAUGGAGGAGUUUUUAGUUCACCUCAUGAGAUCAGGAUCCUCAGUAAGAUCAGUCACAGAGUCCUGGUACUGGAGGUCCUGUAGUGACAAACACUGCUACUAAUAAUCGCUCAAUAAUCUGUGUCUUUUUGGGGGUUUUAAAGAUUUAGUUGCUUUGUUUGAUAAGAUGCUUUGAGAAUUAUUCCUCAGUUUUCAGCCUACAUUUAAAGUUCCUGCGUGUGUUUGAAAACCUCUUACCUUGCCAUUUGUCUGCCCUGGUGUGCAAAGCCACUUCUCUAGAAGGAUAUUACUGAUAUUGAAAAGGUCAACACCGUUAAUGGGUGCGAUCUCUUUAGCCACUGCGUGAAUUUCUGGUCAGGCAAACAAAAGUGGCACAGAAAACAUGUGAUGAGUAAAUGCUGUUGUUAAAAACUGUUUAAAGCAGCCUUUUGUUAUACACCCUAGGGCUUGGGGUCGACCGAUAGUGGAUUUUACUGAUACCAGUAACCAAGUCGGGCAGAAGUUUUAAACUGAUACUGAAUGAAAACACUCGAAGUAAAAUAUUCCUGAACUUUAUUACAAAAAUAAAGUACUGACUGAACCAUGAAAAAUGUACUGCACAUUUUAAAAUGAAAUAUAAUAUAUUAACUAUUAAUAAACAUUAAUUUAAUGUA